GUGCCUAACACAUGCAAGUCGAACGAGAAAGUGGAGCAAUCCAUGAGUAAGUGGCGACCGGGUGAGUAACACGUGACUAACCUACCUUCGAGUGGGGGAUAACUCCGGGAAACCGGGGCUAAUACCGCAUAAGAUCCUGGAGCUGAAAUGCUUUGGGACCAAAGGAGCAAUUCGCUUGAAGAGGGGGUCGCGGCUGAUUAGCUAGUUGGCGGGGUAACGGCCCACCAAGGCGAUGAUCAGUAGCCGGCCUGAGAGGGCGCACGGCCACACUGGAACUGAAACACGGUCCAG
rnacentral:rRNA from 1 species